rnacentral:rRNA from 1 species
GACAGAGGCCCCGAGCGUUAGGCGGAAUCACUGGGCUUAAAGCGUGUGUAGGCGGAUCGUUAAGUGUCUUGUGAAAUCCCACGGCUCACCCGUGGAACUGCUGGGCAUACUGGCGAUCUUGGGCCAUUCAGGGGCGACUGGAACAAGCGGUGGAGCGGUGAAAUGCGUAGAUAUCGCUUGGAACGCCAAAGGUGAAAACAGGUCGCUGGGGAUGUGCCGACGCUGAGACACGAAAGCCAGGGGAGCAAACGGGAUAG